rnacentral:lncRNA from 1 species
AAUCCCGAGUGACCAGCAAUUGGUGAUGAAUGGAACUCCUUCAGAAUUAUUGCCUAGUAAGAAGAAUGUGGGGCAACCACUAUUCGGCCUUUAUAGUGUAAGUCCACCGAAUCCCAACUAUAAUUUGAGACAGAACCUGGGGCUUCUUCUAAUUUUUUAAUGAUGUUUUGGAUCUCAAGAUUAUUUGUCCAUUCCCUUCUGAUAACUUCAAAAGUCUCG